rnacentral:rRNA from 1 species
GAUGAACGCUGGCGGCGUGCCUAAUACAUGCAAGUCGAGCGAAUGGAUUAAGAGCUUGCUCUUAUGAAGUUAGCGGCGGACGGGUGAGUAAUACGUGGGUAACCUGCCCAUAAGACUGGGAUAACUCCGGGAAACCGGGGCUAAUACCGGAUAACAUUUUGAACCGCAUGGUUCGAAAUUGAAUGGCGGCUUCGGCUGGCACUUAUGGAUGGACCCGCGUCGCAUUAGCUAGUUGGUGAGGUAACGGCUCACCAAGGCAACGAUGCGUAGCCGACCUGAGAGGGUGAUCGGCCACACUGGGACUGAGACACGGCCCAGACUCCUACGGGAGGCAGCAGUAGGGAAUCUUCUGCAAUGGACGAAAGUCUGACGGAGCAACGCCGCGUGAGUGAUGAAGGCUUUCGGGUCGUAAAACUCUGUUGUUAGGGAAGAACAAGUGCUAGUUGAAUAAGCUGGCACCUUGACGGUACCUAACCAGAAAGCCACGGCUAACUACGUGCCAGCAGCCGCCGUAA